rnacentral:rRNA from 1 species
CCUUCGGGUGGCAGCAGUGGGGAAUAUUGGACAAUGGGGGCAACCCUGAUCCAGCCAUGCCGCGUGUGUGAAGAAGGCCCUCGGGUUGUAAAGCACUUUCAGUGAGGAAGAACGCCUGGUGGUUAAUACCCAUCAGGAAAGACAUCACUCACAGAAGAAGCACCGGCUAACUCCGUGCCAGCAGCCGCGGUAAUACGGAGGGUGCGAGCGUUAAUCGGAAUUACUGGGCGUAAAGCGCGCGUAGGUGGCUUGAUAAGCCGGUUGUGAAAGCCCCGGGCUCAACCUGGGAACGGCAUCCGGAACUGUCAAGCUAGAGUGCAGGAGAGGAAGGUAGAAUUCCCGGUGUAGCGGUGAAAUGCGUAGAGAUCGGGAGGAAUACCAGUGGCGAAGGCGGCCUUCUGGACUGACACUGACACUGAGGUGCGAAAGCGUGGGUAGCAAACAGGAUUAGAUACCCCGGUAGUC